UUAUGAUACAGUAUGUUAGGCUAGAGCAGUGGGUCUUUAAGUCUGUUCUCUGGACAAGUAGUAUCAAUUUCACCUGGGAAUUUAUAGAAAUGCUAAUUCUGGGGUUCCCCAGACCUUCUGAAACAGAGACUCUGGGAGCAGAGUUGUGUGAUUUGUGCUUCAACAAGCCUUCCAGGCAGUUCUGAUGUGCCCAUUAGGCUAGAGGGAGGCUCACAGAAUUUGCAGAGAGCAGAUCUGGAGACCUGAACCCAGAUGGGGCGAGCCGAGGGCAAGGUGGAGAGUAUGCCGCUGCCUAAAUUUUGCAAAGGAUCAGCAGAAUACUAGUAUAUUGAAGAAGAGAAGCAGGGAAGAAUAAAGAAGAAGAGGAAGGAGAGAAGAGGAAGAGGAAGAAGAAAAAGGAGAAGGAACGUUAAAACAAGAUUAUAAGACUUCUUUAAAUAAAUGAAAUGCCUAUAUUUAAUAAAUUACACUUUUAGGAUUGCAUAAAUAUAUUGCAAUAGAUUCAUGUUAUUAAAAAUAUAAGCACUUCCUCAUGCAUCCACCCUCGGUGUCCCAGAUGGGAUAAAUAAGUCAAAGUUGAAUAUUAAACAUGUUCCAUUU
rnacentral:lncRNA from 1 species